UGGGGAAUAUUGCNCAAUGGGGGAAACCCUGAUGCAGCGACGCCGCGUGAGUGAAGAAGUAUUUCGGUAUGUAAAGCUCUAUCAGCAGGGAAGAAAAUGACGGUACCUGACUAAGAAGCCCMGGCUAACUACGUG
rnacentral:rRNA from 1 species